rnacentral:rRNA from 1 species
GUGCAUCAGGCGAGAAUUUUUCUCAAUGGGCGAAAGCCUGAAGGAGCGACGCCGCGUGGGGGAUGAAUGGCUUCGGCCCGUAAACCCCUGUCAUUUGUGAACAAAUUGCUUCACCUAACACGUGAAGCAUUGAUUGUAACGGAAGAGGAAGGGACGGCUAACUCUGUGCCAGCAGCCGCGGUAAUACAGAGGUCCCAAGCGUUGUUCGGAUUCACUGGGCGUAAAGGGUGCGUAGGCGGUUUGAUAAGUCUGAUGUGAAAUCCCGCAGCUUAACUGCGGAACUGCAUUGGAAACUGUUUGACUAGAGGAAUGGAGGGGAGACUGGAAUACUUGGUGUAGCAGUGAAAUGCGUAGAUAUCAAGUGGAACACCAGUGGCGAAGGCGAGUCUCUGGACAUUUCCUGACGCUGAGGUACGAAAGCCAGGGGAGCAAACGGGAUUAGAUACCCCCGUAGU